UCAAGUGAAUAAGUGCAUGUGGUGGAUGCCUUGGCGAUUACAGGCGAUGAAGGACGUUGUAGCCUGCGAUAAGCCGCGGGGAGCUGGCAAACAAGCUUUGAUCCGCGGAUGUCCGAAUGGGGAAACCCACCCGCAAGGGUAUCGCUGACUGAAUCCAUAGGUCAGCGAGGCGAACGUGGCGAACUGAAACAUCUAAGUAGCCACAGGAAAAGAAAUCAACCGAGAUUCCGAAAGUAGUGGCGAGCGAAAUCGGAGCAGCCUGUGCGUGAUAGUCGAUUGGCUAGUGGAACGGUAUGGAAAGGCCGGCCAUAGAGGGUGAUAGCCCCUUACACGAAAGCGAAUCGGUGGUACUGAGCGUACGACAAGUAGGGCGGGACACGUGUAAUCCUGUCUGAAGAUGGGGGGACCAUCCUCCAAGGCUAAAUACUCGUAAUCGACCGAUAGUGAACAAGUACUGUGAAGGAAAGGCGAAAAGAACCCCGGGAGGGGAGUGAAAUAGAUCCUGAAACCGCAUGCAUACAAACAGUCGGAGCCUCGCAAGGGGUGACGGCGUACCUUUUGUAUAAUGGGUCAGCGACUUACGUUCAGUGGCAAGCUUAACCAGAUAGGGGAGGCGCAGGGAAACCGAGUCCGAAUAGGGCGCCAUAGUCGCUGGGCGUAGACCCGAAACCAGGUGAUCUAUCCAUGGUCAGGAUGAAGGUUGGGUAACACCAGCUGGAGGUCCGAACCGACUAAUGUUGCAAAAUUAGCGGAUGAACUGUGGAUAGGGGUGAAAGGCUAAUCAAACCUGGAAAUAGCUGGUUCUCCCCGAAAACUAUUUAGGUAGUGCGUCAUGUAUUGCUCCAGGGGGUAGAGCACUGUAAUGGUUGUGGGGGCCAUCGCGGCUUACCACGCCAUAGCAAACUCCGAAUACCUGGAAGUAUGAGCAUGGCAGACAGUCGCCGGGUGCUAACGUCCGGCGGCAAGAGGGAAACAACCCAGACCUACAGCUAAGGUCCCAAAGUGUGGCUAAGUGGGAAACGAAGUGGGAAGGCUAAAACAGUCAGGAUGUUGGCUUAGAAGCAGCCAUCAUUUAAAGAAAGCGUAAUAGCUCACUGAUCGAGUCGUCCUGCGCGGAAGAUGUAACGGGGCUAAGCCAUGCACCGAAGCUUAGGCUGCACUCUUUGAGUGCGGGGUAGGGGAGCGUUCUGUAAGCCUGUGAAGGUGUCUCGUAAGGGAUGCUGGAGGUAUCAGAAGUGCGAAUGCUGACAUGAGUAGCGUUAAAGCGGGUGAAAAGCCCGCUCGCCGUAAGCGCAAGGUUUCCUACGCAACGUUCAUCGGCGUAGGGUGAGUCGGCCCCUAAGGUGAGGGCGAAAGCCAUAGCUGAUGGGAAGCUGGUUAAUAUUCCAGCACCGAUUUCUAGUGCGAUGGGGGGACGGAUCGUGGAAGGUUGUCCGGGUGUUGGAAGUCCCGGUUCCUGACCUGUAGGUGUCUGGUAGGUAAAUCCGCCAGGCGUAUGCCGAGGGGUUGGGACGAGCGAGCUUGCUCGCGAAGCAACUGGAAGUGGUUCCAAGAAAAGCCUCUAAGCUUCAGCUAGAAACGACCGUACCGCAAACCAACACUGGUGCGCGAGAUGAGUAUUCUCAGGCGCUUGAGAGAACUCGGGAGAAGGAACUCGGCAAAUUGACACCGUAACUUCGGAAGAAGGUGUGCCUUGGUAGCUUGAGUGUGAACAACACAAGGGCAAAGAGGUUGCAAAGAAUAGGUGGCUGCGACUGUUUAUUAAAAACACAGCACUCUGCAAACACGAAAGUGGACGUAUAGGGUGUGACGCCUGCCCGGUGCCGGAAGGUUAAGUGAUGGGGUGCAAGCUCUUGAUCGAAGCCCCGGUAAACGGCGGCCGUAACUAUAACGGUCCUAAGGUAGCGAAAUUCCUUGUCGGGUAAGUUCCGACCCGCACGAAUGGCGUAACGAUGGCCACACUGUCUCCUCCCGAGACUCAGCGAAGUUG
rnacentral:rRNA from 1 species